GACGAACGCUGGCGGCGUGCUUAACACAUGCAAGUCGAACGGAAAGGCCCUGCUUUUGUGGGGUGCUCGAGUGGCGAACGGGUGAGUAACACGUGAGUAACCUGCCCUUGACUUUGGGAUAACUUCAGGAAACUGGGGCUAAUACCGGAUAGGAGCUCCUGCUGCAUGGUGGGGGUUGGAAAGUUUCGGCGGUUGGGGAUGGACUCGCGGCUUAUCAGCUUGUUGGUGGGGUAGUGGCUUACCAAGGCUUUGACGGGUAGCCGGCCUGAGAGGGUGACCGGCCACAUUGGGACUGAGGUACGGCCCAGACUCCUACGGAGGGCAGCAGUGGGGAAUAUUGCACAAUGGGCGGAAGCCUGAUGCAGCAACGCCGCGUGCGGGAUGACGGCCUUCGGGUUGUAAACCGCUUUCGCCUGUGACGAAGCGUGAGUGACGGUAAUGGGUAAAGAAGCACCGGCUAACUACGUG
rnacentral:rRNA from 1 species